AGAUAUUCGGAAUGAGCUUUAGCAAGUGAUGUACUUAUUAAAGAUGGAGCCCGUCCCAUUAAAAACUGAUGAAGGCCCUUCUUCCUGGCCCUUUGUGGUCUCCAGAGUUCGACCUGGAACACUUUGGGCUGCAGCUUGUUCCAGGAUUGUGUAGUUACAUGUGACAAACGCCUGCUUAUGCUGCAUUCAGUUAAGAAUUAUUGUGGCUGACAGGUUUUCCUUGUGGCUUGGUUUUUUGAUGAAGCUUGUGAGAAGUUUUAGUCGGGCUUCUCUGUAAAAGUGUGAACAAGAAUUACUGUACAGCAGUUGUUUUGUUGACGAGCUUUAUUUAUUUUAUUUGCACGGAAGGUGUCAUUAUCUCUGUUCGGUGAAAGCAUACUUGUCUGGUUGAUGGGUUGAGCUUGGUUUUGAGUGUGUACAUCUCUGUUUGUGGAUUCUUCAACUUUAUCAGUGCAUUUGGUGAAUGGUGAUCAAGCGUUUUCCUGAAGUUUUAUGUUGAUUUCAA